rnacentral:tRNA from 1 species
GGCUUAGUGCAUGGCCCAGGUCGCCUUCUAAGCGGCAGGUCGUAGGUUCGAGCCCUACCGGGGUCGCCA